UGCCACAGCCAUAUCACCCAGUAGUCCAAGACUGGUUACUUACUGAAGCUAAGCUGGGCUGAGCCUCGUUAGUACCUCGAUGGGAUACCACAUGAGAAAACUAGGUUGCUGUUGGAA
ensembl:rRNA 5S_rRNA 5S ribosomal RNA